rnacentral:rRNA from 1 species
GACGAACGCUGGCGGCGUGCUUAACACAUGCAAGUCGAACGGAAAGGCCCUGCUUUUGUGGGGUGCUCGAGUGGCGAACGGGUGAGUAACACGUGAGUAACCUGCCCGUGACUUUGGGAUAACUUCAGGAAACUGGGGCUAAUACCGGAUAGGAGCUCCUGCUGCAGGGGGGGGGUUGGAAAGUUUCGGCGGUUGGGGCUGGACUCGCGGCUUAUCAGCUUGUUGGUGGGGUAGUGGCUUACCAAGGCUUUGACGGGUAGCCGGCCUGAGAGGGUGGCCGGCCACAUUGGGCCUGCGAUACGGCCCAGACUCCUACGGUGGGCAGUAGUGGGGAACAUUGCCCAACGGGGCGACGCCUGAUGCAACAACCCCGCGUGCGGGAUGACGGCCUUCGGGUUAUGAACCGCUUUCGCCUGUGACGAAGCGUGAGUGACGGUAACGGGUAAAGAAGCACCGGCUAACUACGUG